UACGGGAGGCAGCAGUGGGGAAUAUUGCACAAUGGGCGCAAGCCUGAUGCAGCCAUGCCGCGUGUAUGAAGAAGGCCUUCGGGUUGUAAAGUACUUUCAGUCGUGAGGAAGGUGUUAAGGUUAAUAACCUUAGCAAUUGACGUUAGCGACAGAAGAAGCACCGGCUAACUCCGUGCCAGCAGCCGCGGUAAUACGGAGGGUGCGAGCGUUAGUCGGAAUUACUGGGCGUAAAGGGCACGCAGGCGGUUAAUUAAGUUGGAUGUGAAAUCCCCGGGCUUAACCUGGGAAUGGCAUUCAAGACUGGUUAGCUAGAGUCUUGUAGAGGGGGUAGAAUUCCAUGUGUAGCGGUGAAAUGCGUAGAGAUGUGGAGGAAUACCGGUGGCGAAGGCGGCCCCUGGACAAAGGCUGACGCUCAUGUGCGAAAGCGUGGGGAGCAAACG
rnacentral:rRNA from 1 species